ACGUAGGGCGCAAGCGUUGUCCGGAAUUAUUGGGCGUAAAGAGCUCGUAGGUGGUUAGUCGCGUCUGCUGUGAAAACUCGAGGCUUAACCUCGAGCUUGCAGUGGGUACGGGCUGACUAGAGUGCGGUAGGGGAGACUGGAAUUCCUGGUGUAGCGGUGGAAUGCGCAGAUAUCAGGAGGAACACCGAUGGCGAGGGCAGGUCUCUGGGCCGUAACUGACACUGAGGAGCGAAAGCGUGGGGAGCGAACAGGA
rnacentral:rRNA from 1 species